rnacentral:tRNA from 1 species
GGAGAGAUGACCGAGCUGGCCGAAGGUGCUCGCCUGCUAAGCGAGUGUAGGGUCAAAAGCCUUACCGAGGGUUCGAAUCCCUCUCUCUCCGCCA